rnacentral:misc_RNA from 1 species
GAUGAAGAACGUAGCGAAAUGCGAUACGUAAUGUGAAUUGCAAAUUCAGUGAAUCAUCGAGUCUUUGAACGCACAUUGCGCCCCCUGGUAUUCCGGGGGGCAUGCCUGUCCGAGCGUCAUUGCUGCCCUCAAGCACGGCUUGCGUGUUGGGCCCCGUCCUCCGAUCCCGGGGGACGGGCCCGAAAGGCAGCGGCGGCACCGCGUCCGGUCCUCGAGCGUAUGGGGCUUUGUCACCCGCUCUGUAGGCCCGGCCGGCGCUUGCCGAUCAACCCAAAUUUUUAUCCAGGUUGACCUCGGAUCAGGUAGGGAUACCCGCUGAACUUAAGCAUAUCAAUAAGCGGAGGA